rnacentral:rRNA from 1 species
AACGAACGCUGGCGGCAUGCCUAACACAUGCAAGUCGAACGAGACCUUCGGGUCUAGUGGCGCACGGGUGCGUAACGCGUGGGAACCUGCCCUUAGGUUCGGAAUAACUCCCCGAAAGGGGUGCUAAUACCGGAUAAUGUCUUCGGACCAAAGAUUUAUCGCCUUUGGAUGGGCCCGCGUUGGUUUAGCUGGUUGGUAGGGUAAAAGCCUAACAAGGCGACGAUCCGUAGCUGGUCUGAGAGGAUGAUCAGCCACACUGGAACUGAGACACGGUCGAGACUCCUACGGGAGGGAGCAGUGGGGAAUAUUGGACAAUGGGCGCAAGCCUGAUCCAGCCAUACCGCGUGGGUGAAGAAGGCCUUCGGGUUGUAAAGCCCUUUUGUUGGGAAAGAAAAGCAGCAGGUUAAUACCCCGCUGUUCUGACGGUACCCAAAGAAUAAGCACCGGCUAACUUCGUG